rfam:Dipodomys ordii contig_64466, whole genome shotgun sequence.
GGGGAAGUGGCUCAGUGGUAGAGCGCUUGCCUUGCAUGCAUGAGGCCCUGGGUUCAUUCCCCAGCACCA